AGGGGUAUAGCUCAGUGGUAAAGUGUGUACUUAGAAUGCACGAGGUCCUGGGUUCAAUCCCCAGCACCUCUG
rnacentral:tRNA from 1 species